UGCCAGCCGCCGCGGUAAUACGGAGGGUGCAAGCGUUGCUCGGAAUUACUGGGCGUAAAGCGAACGCAGGCGGCUUACCAAGUCGGGUGUGAAAGCCCUGGGCUCAACCCAGGAAUUGCAUUCGAAACUGGUAGGCUUGAGUCCGAGAGAGGGAGGUGGAAUUCCAGGUGUAGAGGUGAAAUUCGUUGAUAUCUGGAGGAACACCGGUGGCGAAGGCGGCCUCCUGGCUCGGUACUGACGCUCAUGUUCGAAAGCGUGGGGAGCAAACAGGAUUAGAUA
rnacentral:rRNA from 1 species